rnacentral:rRNA from 1 species
GUCGAGCGGUAGAGAGGUGCUUGCACCUCUUGAGAGCGGCGGACGGGCGAGUAAAGCCUAGGAAUCUGCCUGGUAGUGGGGGAUAACGCUCGGAAACGGACGCUAAUACCGCAUACGUCCUACGGGAGAAAGCAGGGGACCUUCGGGCCUUGCGCUAUCAGAUGAGCCUAGGUCGGAUUAGCUAGUUGGUGAGGUAAUGGCUCACCAAGGCGACGAUCCGUAACUGGUCUGAGAGGAUGAUCAGUCACACUGGAACUGAGACACGGUCCAGACUCCUACGGGAGGCAGCAGUGGGGAAUAUUGGACAAUGGGCGAAAGCCUGAUCCAGCCAUGCCGCGUGUGUGAAGAAGGUCUUCGGAUUGUAAAGCACUUUAAGUUGGGAGGAAGGGCAUUAACCUAAUACGUUAGUGUUUUGACGUUACCGACAGAAUAAGCACCGGCUAACUCUGUGCCAGCAGCCGCGGUAAUACAGAGGGUGCAAGCGUUAAUCGGAAUUACUGGGCGUAAAGCGCGCGUAGGUGGUUCGUUAAGUUGGAUGUGAAAUCCCCGGGCUCAACCUGGGAACUGCAUUCAAAACUGUCGAGCUAGAGUAUGGUAGA